AUUGAACGCUGGCGGCAGGCCUAACACAUGCAAGUCGAGCGAGCGGCGGACGGGUGAGUAAUGUCUGGGAAACUGCCUGUUGGAGGGGGAUAACUACUGGAAACGGUAGCUAAUACCGCAUACCAUCAGAUUUGCCCAGAUGGGAUUAGUUAGUAGGUGGGGUAACGGCCAACCUAGGCGACGAUCCCUAGCUAGUCUGUGAGGUUUACCAGCCAAACUGGAACUGAGACACGGUCCGGACUCCUCCGGGAGGCAGCAGUGGGGGAUAUUGCACAAUGGGCGCAAGCCUGAUGCAGCCAUGCCGCGUGUGUGAAGAAAGCCUUCGGGUUGUAAAGGACUUUUGUUAGGGAAGCGGUACCUAAAGAAUAAGCACCGGCUAACUACGUGCCAGCAGCCGCGGUAAUUC
rnacentral:rRNA from 1 species